CCUACGGGUGGCUGCAGUGGGGAAUAUUGCACAAUGGGGGAAACCCUGAUGCAGCAACGCCGCGUGAGUGAAGAAGGUUUUCGGAUUGUAAAGCUCUGUUAGCAGGGAAGAGGAAGGACGGUACCUGCAGAGGAAGCCACGGCUAACUACGUGCCAGCAGCCGCGGUAAUACGUAGGUGGCAAGCGUUGUUCGGAAUAACUGGGCGUAAAGGAUGCGUAGGUGGUUUAGUAAGUUGGCGGUGUAAUUCCGGGGCUCAACCUCGGCGCUACCGCCAAAACUAUUAGACUAGAGGGCAGGAGGGGUAAGUGGAAUUCCUAGGGUAGCGGUGGAAUGCGUAGAUAUUAGGAGGAACAUCAGGGGCGAAGGCGACUUACUGGACUGUAACUGACACUGAGGCACGAAAGCGUGGGGAGCAAACAGGAUUAGAUACCCCUGUAGUCC
rnacentral:rRNA from 1 species